GCCCUGCUAGCUCAAUCGGUAGAGCGUGAGACUUUUACAAGCCUCUCAGCAAGUAAAUGCAGCUUCUGCAAGCGCCAUCUCAAGGCUGCGGGUUCGAGCCCCGCGUGGGGCU